rnacentral:rRNA from 1 species
AAUCAACGCUGGCGGCGUGCCUCAGACAUGCAAGUCGAACGCGAAAGUUUCCUUCGGGAAGCGAGUAGAGUGGCGUCCGGGUGAGUAACACGUAGGUAAUCUACCUUUGGGUGGGGAAUAACAACCGGAAACGGUUGCUAAUACCGCAUAAUGCAGCGGCACCACAUGGUGACAGUUGUUAAAGCGGGGGAUCGCAAGACCUCGCGCCUAAAGGAGGAGCCUGCGGCGGAUUAGCUAGNGGUAAGGUAACGGCUUACCAAGGCAACGAUCCGUAGCCGGCCUGAGAGGGCGGUCGGCCACACUGACACUGAAAUACGGGUCAGACUCCUACGGGAGGCAGCAGUC